rnacentral:tRNA from 1 species
AAGGCUUUAAGUUAAAAAAACUAAUAGCCUUCAAAGCUAUAAAUAAUAGAUCAUCUUUUAAGCCUUA